rnacentral:rRNA from 1 species
UACGGGGGGAGCAAGCGUUGUUCGGAUUUACUGGGCGUAAAGGGCGCGUAGGCGGCGCAACAAGUCACUUGUGAAAUCUCCGGGCUUAACCCGGAGCGGUCAAGUGAUACUGUCGUGCUAGAGUGCGGAAGGGGCUACUGGAAUUCUCGGUGUAGCGGUGAAAUGCGUAGAUAUCGAGAGGAACACCUGAGGCGAAGGCGGGUUACUGGGCUGAUACUGACGCUGAUGCGCGACAGCGUGGGGAGCAAACAGG